CAGUCGCCGCGGUAAUACGAAGGGUGCAAGCGUUACUCGGAAUUACUGGGCGUAAGGCGUGCGUAGGUGGUGGUUUAAGUCCGUUGUGAAAGCCCUGGGCUCAACCUGGGAAUUGCAGUGGAUACUGGCUCGCUAGAGUGUGUCAGAGGAUGGUGGAAUUCCCGGUGUAGCGGUGAAAUACGUAGAGAUCGGGAGGAACAUCAGUGGCGAAGGCGGCCAUCUGGGACAACACUGACGCUGAGGCACGAAAGCGUGGGGAGCAAACAGGAUUAGAUACCCCUGUAGUCCCUGUCUCUUAUAA
rnacentral:rRNA from 1 species